rnacentral:rRNA from 1 species
GAUGAACGCUGGCGGCGUGCCUAAUACAUGCAAGUCGAGCGAACAGACGAGGAGCUUGCUCCUCUGACGUUAGCGGCGGACGGGUGUGUAACACGUGGAUAACCUACCUAUAAGACUGGGAUAACUUCGGGAAACCGGAGCUAAUACCGGAUAAUAUAUUGAACCGCAUGGUUCAAUAGUGAAAGACGGCUUUGCUGUCACUGAUAGAUGGAUCUGCGCCGCAUUAGCUAGUUGGUAAGGUAACGGCUUACCAAGGCUACGAUGCGUAGACGACCUGAGAGGGUGGUCGGCCGCACGGGAGGUGAGACACGUUCCAGGCUCCUACGGGAGGCAGCAGUAGGGAAUCUGACGCAGUAGGCGGAAGCCUGACGGAGCAGCGCCGCGUGAGUGAUGGAGGUCUUCGGAUCGUAAAGCUCUGUUAUUAGGGAAGAACAAAUGUGGAAUGAACUAUGCACGUCUUGACGGUACCUAAUCAGAAAGCCACGGCUAACUACGUG